rnacentral:rRNA from 1 species
UACGUAGGGCGCAAGCGUUAUCCGGAAUUAUUGGGCGUAAAGAGCUCGUAGGCGGUUUGUCGCGUCUGCCGUGAAAGUCCGGGGCUCAACUCCGGAUCUGCGGUGGGUACGGGCAGACUAGAGUGAUGUAGGGGGAGACUGGAAUUCCUGGUGUAGCGGUGGAAUGCGCAGAUAUCAGGAAGAACACCCGUGGCGAAGGCGGCUCUCUGGGACGGUACUGACACUGAGGCACGAAAGCGUGGGGAGCAAACAGG